GGCGUCAUAGCUCAGCUGGGAGAGCAACAGACUGAAGUGCCACCUGGAUCAGGUUCAUCUGGAGGUCCCGUGUUCAAUCCACGGUGAUGCCA